rnacentral:tRNA from 1 species
GUGGCCGUCCUGUAUUGGUUCAGGAACUUGGCUGUGAACCAAGUUUAUGUCGGUUCAAUUCCGAUCGGUCACCC